ACCCAAAAGAUCGAAUGGGAAAAUUCAUCGUUAAUAUGUUUAAUAUUAAUAUAUUUAAUGAUAUGUUUUAUAUUAUUUUUUUUUAAAAAAUAAUUUAUUUCAUACAUAAAUAUAUUAUUUCAAUGUUUUACAUGUCAGCGUGCACUUUUUCCCUAGUAGGACAUCGCGACCUAUUAAAUGUUGAUUUACGACCAAAUUGGAUUAGCCUUUAAUGAAAAAAUUAUAAUUUAUAAUUUAUUUAUUAAAGACCAAUUUGUGUUUUUCUAAUCAAGUAUUUGAUAGUAAUCGUAUGAUAUUAAGUCGCAAAUUAAAUUUAUUUUUUUUGCGUUUUUUUUACACGUUGGCAAGCAAGGCUAUUUUUAUUGGUUACAGAUUUAUAUGCUGUCUUUUAAAAAUUAUGUCAGCUGUUAGCUACGUUGUUCUAAAACUGACUUUAAAUAUCUGUCGGCGAUGCUAUUGCUUUGGGUACUUUCAGGACCCGUCUUGAAACACGGACCAAGGAGUCUAACAUGUAUGCAAGUCAUUGGGAUUAUUUUUCAUUUAUGAAAAAUAAAAUAUAUUAAACCUAAAGGCGUAAUGAAAGUAAAAAUUAUAUAUAUUAUAUAAUUAUUGGGAAGAUAAUUUAUAUCAAGAUAUAAAUUCGCAUUACCCAGGGCAUCUUAUUUUUAUAAUUUA
rnacentral:rRNA from 1 species